rnacentral:rRNA from 1 species
CCUACGGGUGGCUGCAGUGGGGAAUAUUGGACAAUGGGGGGAACCCUGAUCCAACCAUGCCGCGUGUGUGAAGAAGGCCCUCGGGUUGUAAAGCACUUUCAGUGAGGAAGAACGCCUGGUGGUUAAUACCCAUCAGGAAAGACAUCACUCACAGAAGAAGCACCGGCUAACUCCGUGCCAGCAGCCGCGGUAAUACGGAGGGUGCGAGCGUUAAUCGGAAUUACUGGGCGUAAAGCGCGCGUAGGUGGCUUGAUAAGCCGGUUGUGAAAGCCCCGGGCUCAACCUGGGAACGGCAUCCGGAACUGUCAAGCUAGAGUGCAGGAGAGGAAGGUAGAAUUCCCGGUGUAGCGGUGAAAUGCGUAGAGAUCGGGAGGAAUACCAGUGGCGAAGGCGGCCUUCUGGACUGACACUGACACUGAGGUGCGAAAGCGUGGGUAGCAAACAGGAUUAGAUACCCUUGUAGUC